CCUGCCUCAACUAGUCAAAUUUACGCUUCGCGUGCUCUUCUUCACAAUAGUGUACGAGUUGUAUCAUAUGUCUAGUAUGUCAUUUAUUGCCCCUAAUAAAUUCGGCGUUUGUACAUUGCUUGCAUUUGUGUUACCGAAUUUUAUUGUCAAAUGUUAUCCAGACCUAUUUUAUGGAGGUAUGUUAGUAGGACAUUUUUAUUUCCAUCAAAUGAACAAAGAAAUUCGGAUCAUCCUGAAUGCCGUUAUUGAAUUGAAAAGUUCCGGGAGUGAAAAUGGAAUGAGAAAUUUAAGCCAAAAGCUGGAAAACGUAACCGUCCAUUACUUCCAGUUAAUUGAAAUUGUCAGAGAAUUCAAUUCGUUUACAUCGCUCCGUGUACUUCUAUGGCUUUUCAUUUUGUUGCUGAAUUUCGUGGUUCACUUUUACAUGCAGUACGCAUUUCUGUGGGCAUUAUUUCGACAUGGACAGAGAAUUAAUGUUGUCAUUUCCAUAAUCGGAUUCAUCUACACUUUUUUCCAAUUAUUUGAAUUUUGGCUUACAACAUCAAUCUGUUCCAAACUGUCCAACGAAAUAAACCGAACUGAAAUAAUGUUAAGCUCAAUGUACCUUCAUCUUUGCCAUACUGAUCACGUUCCAUUCAAAGAAAAAGUGUUCAUGACUGCCAAUCGUAUCAAACAUGAGAAUCUGGAAAUCACUGGCUCAAAAUUAUUUGUCAUUGAUUCGCGUUUAAUUUUCUCGAUUAUUAGCAGUACCUUCUCAUACUUAGUGAUACUCAUACAGUUUGAAUUGUCCAACAUAAACAUGUGAAA